rnacentral:RNase_P_RNA from 1 species
GAUGCAAGCCAGACAGCCGCUGGCCAGUGCGUAAUGCCUGGCGGGAGGAAGGUCCGGACUCCAUAGAGCGGGGUGACGGUUAACGGCCGUCCGUCGAAAGGCCCCUCCAGCGUACUUGUACGCUGGAGUAGGCUAUAAGGCGAGGAAUAGGGCCACAGAGACGAGCGUAUUAAGUUACGGUGAAACGCGGUAACCUCCACCUGGAGCAAUUCCAAAUAGGCACGCGAUGAUGUUGCUCGCGGAGCGUGCGGGUAGGAAGCUUGAGCGCUGGAGUAAUCCAGCGCCUAGAGGAAUGGCUGUCAUAGCGCAGGUUCGCCUGUGCCGUAACAAAAUCCGGCCUAUCGGCUUGCUUCAACU